GAUGAAGGUAAGGUAAUACUUACUGGAGGUCCGAACCCACGCACGUUGAAAAGUGCGGGGAUGAGGUGUGGGUAGCGGAGAAAUUCCAAUCGAACUUGGAGAUAGCUGGUUCUCUCCGAAAUAGCUUUAGGGCUAGCCUCGAGGUAAAGAGUCAUGGAGGUAGAGCACUGUUUGGACUAGGGGCCCUUCUCGGGUUACCGAAUUCAGAUAAACUCCGAAUGCCAUGUACUUAUACUCGGGAGUCAGACUGCGAGUGAUAAGAUCCGUAGUCGAAAGGGAAACAGCCCAGACCACCAGUUAAGGUCCCCAAAUAUAUGUUAAGUGGAAAAGGAUGUGGGGUUGCUUAGACAACCAGGAUGUUGGCUUAGAAGCAGCCACCAUUGAAAGAGUGCGUAAUAGCUCACUGGUCGAGUGACCCCGCGCCGAAAAUGUACCGGGGCUAAACAUAUUACCGAAACUGUGGAUGAACCUCUUCGGAGGUUCGUGGUAGGAGAGCGUUCUAAGGGCGGUGAAGUCAGACCGGAAGGACUGGUGGAGCGCUUAGAAGUGAGAAUGCCGGUAUGAGUAGCGAAAGAAGGGUGAGAAUCCCUUCCACCGAAUAUCUAAGGUUUCCUGAGGAAGGCUCGUCCGCUCAGGGUUAGUCGGGACCUAAGCCGAGGCCGAUAGGCGUAGGCGAUGGACAACAGGUAGAGAUUCCUGUACCAGUGCUAAUUGUUUAACCGAUGGGGUGACACAGAAGGAUAGGGAAUCGCACGAAUGGAAAUGUGCGUCCAAGCAGUGAGUGUGA
rnacentral:rRNA from 1 species